ACACGGAGUGGAUGGGCCGUGAAGUCUUCCAUGGGAAUCCAAAGGGAACACCAUCGCAAAUUGAUGCCUUCGACAGAGGGGUUAGAACCGGUGCAUUUGGUUUGCUAUUAAAUUCGAUUAUUCUCGGGAUUGGUUCUUUCAUGAUUGAGCCCCUUUGCCGAAAACUCACUCCAAGAAUUGUUUGGGUGACAAGCAACUUUAUGGUGUGCCUUGCAAUGGUUGCCACUACGAUCAUGAAUGUCUGGUCCAUGCACUAUACUGAUUGAGCCCCUUUGCCGAAAACUCACUCCAAGAAUUGUUUGGGUGACAAGCAACUUUAUGGUGUGCCUUGCAAUGAUCGCUUUAUCGAACCGAAUGGCAAAGUCAAAGCGUUUGCAUUAUUUCUCUUUGCAUCUCUCGGUCUUCCCCUAGCUGUUAGCUAGUUCUGUAUAGUGUUCCUUUUGCGGUUACAGCGACAUUAGCUGCUAGCCGAGGAGGUGACCAAGGGUUAUGCGCUUGGAUUUUAAACAUUUCGAUUGUUGUCCCUCAGGUGAUAGUGGUUCUUGGUGUUGGGAAUUUAACGCCGAAAUCCCUAAUGCAACGGUAACGCAGAAUAGAGAACAGUACACAAGA